CCCUUAGAUGUUCUGGGCCGCACGCGCGCUACACUGACGAAUGCAACGAGCUUAUAACCUUGGCCGAAAGGUCUGGGUAAUCUCCAAAUUUCGUCGUGAUGGGGAUAGAUUAUUGCAAUUAUUAAUCUUCAACGAGGAAUGCCUAGUAAGCGCAAGUCAUCAGCUUGCGUUGAUUACGUCCCUGCCCUUUGUACACACCGCCCGUCGCUCCUACCGAUUGAAUGGUCCGGUGAAGCGUUCGGACCGUGGCCUUUGGACGGUUCGCCGUCUGUUGGCUGCGGGAAGUUCGUUAAACCUUAUCACUUAGAGGAAGGAGAANUCGUANCA
rnacentral:rRNA from 1 species